AUGCAGAGCCCACAGGGAUUUGACCUGAAAGCAUCAAGCGGUGAACCAUGGCAUGUGUGUGUUACCAAGGUUGCCAAUGACCUGUUCUUCAGUUCAGGAUGGGGAGAUUUUGUCAAGGCUCAUGAACUGCAGGAGAAUGACCUCCUGAUCUUCACAUUCAGCGGCAACUCCUCUUUUAAAGUCCUCAUCUUCGAUGCGACCGGCUGCGAGAAACUGUCUUCUCUCUUUGCUGGCGCUGGUAUGCGCAAACAUCUUGAUGGUAUGGUGGGUCAACAGGUUGAGCAAUACGACGAUUAUGAUGAUACAAGUGUGCCGUCUCAGUUGAUUGAGUCCCAUCAGAAUGUCUCCACUUUAAGGAAAUUCAGUAGCAGGACCAAACCAAGUAAGACAUUAUGUGGUUCGACUAACACAUGA
rnacentral:rRNA from 1 species